rnacentral:misc_RNA from 1 species
GAUGAAGAACGUAGCGAAAUGCGAUACGUAAUGUGAAUUGCAAAUUCAGUGAAUCAUCGAGUCUUUGAACGCACAUUGCGCCCCCUGGUAUUCCGGGGGGCAUGCCUGUCCGGGCGUCAUUGCUGCCCUCAAGCACGGCUUGUGUGUUGGGCCCCGUCCUCCGAUUCCGGGGGACGGGCCCGAAAGGCAGCGGCGGCACCGCGUCCGGUCCUCGAGCGUAUGGGGCUUUGUCACCCGCUCUGUAGGCCCGGCCGGCGCUUGCCGAUCAACCCAAAUUUUUAUCCAGGUUGACCUCGGAUCAGGUAGGGAUACCCACUGAACUUAAGCAUAUCAAUAAGCGGAGGA